GGCUGAGAUAAGUCAAUAGUUGUAGCACGAUAUAUUCUAUUUCCAGAAAUUGUCCACAAGCACACAAUAGCAAAAUAAGUGGGAAAAAAAAAGAGAUAAAUACUGGCAGCUUGUACUGCAUGUAUUGCUGUGUAUCGGGCCUUUCAUUCUCUUGCAGACCUUCCUGAAGGAAUUAAAUUGUCUUGAAUUUUUUGUCAAAAAAAAGGAUUGGAUGUUUACAGAUUCUUUUGUAGUCUUCUCAGUUCAAAGAACCAAGAACCAAAAUAUGUUUAACACAAGUGAAUAAUACUCUCGCCAUUUGCCAAUCCCACUUGUUUACAAUGCACUUCCAGCUAUAGGCAUAUGUGAAAAUUGAUUGUGAAAUGCCCUCCCACCGUAAGGACCUUACACAAUCCAGAAUCAGCAUAUGCCCACAAAAGAUUUGUUGGCCCCUUGUUCCUGUAGACAACUGUGAAUGGGGGAACAGUGAUGGAUGCAUGGAACUAAAAUCUCAGUCACUACAAAACUGCUUAGCCACCUUGUUUAGCCACUUUUCCUGCCGACACUUUUUCUUCUCUUCUAAAAGACAAGAUUACUUAACACAUCCACAUGCUUAGAAAGACGACGCAUCACAAAGCAUAAGCUGGUACCAGAAGAAACAAAAAAGAAUACAUAUUGGCAGGGGGAAGGAUUAUUUUGUUACAUAGAUAAAACAGAAAAAGUG
rnacentral:misc_RNA from 1 species